GCUGCGAUGGCCGAGUGGUUAAGGCGUUGGACUCGAAAUCCAAUGGGAUAUUUCCCGCGCAGGUUCGAAUCCUGUUCGCAGCG
rnacentral:tRNA from 1 species